rnacentral:tRNA from 1 species
UGCAUCGGCCGGGAAUCGAACCCGGGCCACCCGCGUGGCAGGCGAGCAUUUUACCACUGAACCACUGAUGC